AUACGUAGGAACCAAGCGUUGUCCGGAUUUACUGGGUGUAAAGGGUGCGCAGGCGGAUUUGCGCGUCAGGGGUUAAAGACCUCGGCUUAACCGAGGAAAUGCCUUUGAUACGGCAAGUCUUGAGUACGAGAGAGGAUGGUAGAAUUCCUGGUGUAGCGGUGAAAUGCGUAGAUAUCAGGAGGAAUACCCGUGGCGAAGGCGGCCAUCUGGCUCGUUACUGACGCUCAGGCACGAAAGCGUGGGGAGCAAACAGGAUUAGAUACCCGUGUAGUCC
rnacentral:rRNA from 1 species